rnacentral:rRNA from 1 species
CCUACGGGAGGCAGCAGUAGGGAAUCUUUCACAAUGGGCGAAAGCCUGAUGGAGCAACGCCGCGUGCAGGAUGAAGGCCUUCGGGUUGUAAACUGCUUUUAUAAGCGAGAAAUAUGAUGGUAACUUAUGAAUAAGGAUCGGCUAACUACGUGCCAGCAGCCGCGGUCAUACGUAGGAUCCGAGCAUUAUCCGGAGUGACUGGGUGUAAAGAGUUGCGUAGGUGGCAUAAUAAGUAGCUAGUGAAAUCUGGUGGCUCAACCAUUCAGACUAUUAGCUAAACUGUUAAGCUCGAGACCGUUAGGGGUAACUGGAAUGUCUAGUGGAGGAGUGAAAUCCGUAGAUAUUAGAAGGAACACCAAUAGCGUAGGCAGGUUGCUGGGACGGUUCUGACACUAAGGCACGAAAGCGUAGGGAGCAAACGGGAUUAGAUACCCGUGUAGUC